CCUACGGGAGGCAGCAGUGGGGAAUAUUGCACAAUGGGGGAAACCCUGAUGCAGCGACGCCGCGUGAGUGAAGACGUAUCUCGGUACGUUAAGCUCUAUCAGCAGGGAAGAAAAUGACGGUACCUGACUAAGUAGCACCGGCUAACUACGUGCCAGCAGCCGCGGUAAUACGCAGGGGGCAAGCGUUAUCCGGAUUUACUGGGUGUAAAGGGAGUGUAGACGGCAUGACAAGUCUGGAGUGAAAUCUCGGGGCUUAACCCCGGACCUGCUUUGGAUACUGUGCGGCUGGAGUGCAGGAGGGGUAAGCGGAAUUCCUAGUGUAGCGGUGAAAUGCGUAGAUAUUAGGAGGAACACCGGUGGCGAAGGCAGCUUACUGGACUGUAACUGACAUUGAGGCUCGAAAGCGUGGGGAGCAAACAGGAUUAGAUACCCCUGUAGUC
rnacentral:rRNA from 1 species